rnacentral:rRNA from 1 species
AACGAACGCUAUCGGUAUGCUUAACACAUGCAAGUCGGACGGACUAAUUAGGGCUUGCUCCAAUUAGUUAGUGGCAGACGGGUGAGUAACACGUGGGAAUCUGCCCAUCAGUACGGAAUAACUUUUAGAAAUAAAAGCUAAUACCGUAUAUUCUCUACAGAGGAAAGAUUUAUCGCUGCUGGAUGAGCCCGCGUCAGAUUAGGUAGUUGGUGAGGUAACGGCUCACCAAGCCGACGAUCUGUAGCUGGUCUGAGAGGAUGAUCAGCCACACUGGGACUGAGACACGGCCCAGACUCCUACGGGAGGCAGCAGUGGGGAAUAUUGGACAAUGGGCGAAAGCCUGAUCCAGCAAUACCGAGUGAGUGAUAAAGGCCCUAGGGUUGUAAAGCUCUUUUAGCAAGGAAGAUAAUGACGUUACUUGCAGAAAAAGCCCCGGCUAACUCCGUG